UGCCCAGGUUUUUGAGUCAGGUGGGAGCAAUCAAUUAAUCAAUUAGCACCUAUUAGUAGUGCAAUUAGUAGUGGGAAGCAGCUGAGGAAGCAAGGGUGUUUUUCUUUGUGUGCUGGUUUUUGUUCAUUUUUUGCAAUCCAGUGAAGGUAACGCUCAGCCUGGAAGCCUUAUUUUUGUAAGUUUCAUUUUGUGUUUAGUGUCUGUGUUUCAGAAACCUUUUGGUUGGCCCUCGUGCCUGUUUAUUUUGUGUUUUUUAUUUAAUAAAGGUAUUUUGGUUUGAACUGCAGUCUGUCUGGGCCUCAUCCCUUGCGCCAUCCUGUCACAACAACGUUAUACUGUUGGUUGUGCAUAUGGGAGCCCACAGAGGAUGCUGUUGUCUGUGGCCUGAAUACCGGCAACAGUAAACAGGACCACAGAAAUACCCCCCCAAGGCCUAUCUCUCAACCACUCAGAGGGAAAGCCAACAGAUCUUGCAAGGCUGCUGCCCCCUUCCUGCAGAACCACGGAUGCGCCAGAUAGUCAGCACAGAUCCCCCCCACCCUGUUACAGGUAGCCAUGGAGAUCCACCACCGGAAUGAGAAGUACAAGAGAAAUGAGAAGUUCCUACAACUUCGGUGAAGUUCCUGGGAUUUUCAAAAUAGUAUAGAUGGAAACUCCCUGGGCACACAUGAUCAUGCUUUCAACUGAGUGGGCUUGCUGGGUGAGCCAUUUUCAGCACACGGAGCAUCAAUCAGUGAGAGAGAUUCUGUGCAGGACUUCAAUCAGUGUGUGUGAGAGAGAGAGGUCUGUGCAGGACUUCAACCAGUGAGAGUGAGAGAGAGAGGCCUGUGUAGGACUCCAACCAGUGAGAGAGAGAGAGAGAGAGAGAGAGAGAGAGAGAGAGAGAGAUCUGUGCAGGACUUCAAUCAGUGAGAGAGGGGUCUAUGCAGGACUUCAAUCAGAGAGAGAGAGGUCUGUGCAGGACUUCAAUCAACUCUCAAAUGGACCAUCUUCACAUCACAGCUCUUUAAAAUAACAUAUACAACACAUAAAUAAGAAACUCUUUCAUUACCAUUGCUAGGUGUUUAGUUCCAUUUCCAAAGCAUAUCAUUCACUUUAUUUGAACUCCCUAUUAGUAUUCAUUGCAGAGGAUAGUAAC